AGCGAACGCUGGCGGCAGGCCUAACACAUGCAAGUCGAACGAACCCUUCGGGGUUAGUGGCGGACGGGUGAGUAACACGUGGGAACGUGCCUUUAGGUUCGGAAUAACUCAGGGAAACUUGUGCUAAUACCGAAUGUGCCCUUCGGGGAAAGAUUUAUCGCCUUUAGAGCGGCCCGUGUCUGAUUAGCUAGUUGGUGAGGUAAUGGCUCACCAAGGCUACGAUCAGUAGCUGGUCUGAGAGGAUGACCAGCCACACUGGGACUGAGACACGGCCCAAACUCCUACGGGAGGCAGCAGUGGGGAAUCUUGCGCAAUGGGCGAAAGCCUGACGCAGCCAUGCCGCGUGGAUGAUGAAGGUCUUAGGAUUGUAAAAUCCUUUCACCGGUGAAGAUAAUGACUGUAGCCGGAGAAGAAGCCCCGGCUAACUUCGUGCCAGCCGCCGCAGUAACAC
rnacentral:rRNA from 1 species